UGCAUGAGUGCAUAUGUCGGACGUGAGU
rnacentral:sRNA from 1 species